rnacentral:rRNA from 1 species
UACGGGGGGGGCAAGCGUUGUUCGGAAUUACUGGGCGUAAAGCGCACGUAGGCGGAUUUGUAAGUCAGGGGUGAAAUCCCGGGGCUCAACCUCGGAACUGCCUUUGAUACUGCAAAUCUCGAGUCCGGAAGAGGUGAGUGGAAUUCCUAGUGUAGAGGUGAAAUUCGUAGAUAUUAGGAAGAACACCAGUGGCGAAGGCGGCUCACUGGUCCGGUACUGACGCUGAGGUGCGAAAGCGUGGGGAUCAAACAGG